rnacentral:misc_RNA from 1 species
GAAAUGCGAUAAGUAAUGCGAAUUGCAGAAUUCAGUGAGUCAUCGAAUCUUUGAACGCACAUUGCGCCCUCUGGUAUUCCGGGGGGCAUGCCUGUUCGAGCGUCAUUACAACCCUCAAGCUCUGCUUGGUAUUGGGCGGCGCCCCCCCGCGGGGCGUGCCUUAAAGACAGUGGCGGUGCCGCCCGGCUCCAAGCGUAGUAACUCUUCUCGCUCUGGACGACCGGCCGCGGUGCCCGCCAGCAACCCCAACUUUCUCAGGUUGACCUCGGAUCAGGUAGGGAUACCCGCUGAACUUAA